rnacentral:lncRNA from 1 species
GCCUUUUGGCUUGGUGACAGUGACAUUGCUGCAGCCUGGGUGACAUUGCUGCAGCCCCUCAGCUGGGUGACAGGGUGACACUGCUGCAGCCCCUCAGCUGGGUGACAGGGUGACACUGCUGCAGCCCCUCAGCUGGGUGACAGGGUGCCACUGCUGCAGUUACUCAGCCUGGGUGACACGGUGACAAUGCUGCAGCCC